AGUAAAACUGCAAAGCGGCAGUGAAAUGAUAGACUGUAAAAACAUAAAUAUUGAAAAAAAAUAAAAAAUUUGAUGUUCGUCUCCGAGCAAAAUCCAAGAUGAAUAUGGAGAUGGAAAAGAUCGAUGAAAGUCAGGGGGCCUUUAGCAGAUAAAGAAAUAGAAGAGACUGAUUGAAACAGAGAGAGAGAGAGAGAGAGAGAGAGAGAGAGAGAGAGGGGCAAAGAUGAGCAGCACAGGGCAAGGUGGACCCCACUCGCUGGCGUUCAGGGUGAUGAGGCUGUGUAGGCCAUCAUUCCAUGUGGACCCCAUCCCUCUCCGGCUUGACCCUUCCGAUCUCCUUGUCGGCGAAGACAUCUUCGACGACCCCAUUGCCGCCUCCCAACUCCCCCGCCUUCUCCGCUCCCACCACCUCUCCAAUCCCACCGCCGACUCCGAUCUCAGCUUCCGCACUCGAUUCCUCCUCCGUGACUCCACCGAUUCCAUGGGCCUCUCCGGCCUCCUCGUCCUCCCCCAAGCUUUUGGAGCAAUAUACUUGGGAGAGACAUUCUGUAGCUACAUUAGUAUCAACAACAGCUCCACUUUUGAAGCUAGAGAUGUUAUAAUCAAGGCGGAGAUUCAAACGGAGAGGCAGAGGAUAUUAUUGUUGGAUACAUCAAAAUCACCUGUGGAAUCCAUACGUGCAGGAGGGCGUUAUGAUUUCAUUGUGGAACAUGAUGUCAAGGAACUUGGAGCUCACACCCUGGUCUGCACUGCAUUGUACAAUGAUGGUGACGGUGAGCGUAAAUAUCUUCCUCAGUUCUUUAAGUUCAUUGUUGCAAAUCCACUCUCAGUCAGGACAAAGGUCCGUGUUGUUAAGGAUACAACAUUUUUAGAAACUUGCAUUGAAAAUCACACAAAAUCAAACCUUUUCAUGGACCAAGUUGAAUUUGAGCCAGCUCAGCACUGGAGCACAUCUAUACUUAAAGCUGAUGAACACCAUACCGAAAAUAAUUCCAUAAAUAGUAACAGAGAGACAUUUAAGCCACCAGUUCUCAUCAAGUCCGGCGGAGGAAUUCACAACUAUCUUUAUCAAUUAAAAUUGCCAUCGCAUGAUUCUCCACAAACAAAAGUUCAGGGAAGUAAUGUUCUUGGGAAACUUCAGAUAACUUGGCGGACAAAUCUGGGUGAACCUGGUCGCUUACAGACCCAACAAAUUCUAGGCAAUCCCAUAACUUAUAAGGAGAUUGAGUUGCACGAUGUGGAAGUGCCCUCUGUCAUCAACUUGGACAGGCCCUUUACGCUGCACAUCAACCUUACAAACCUGACAGAGAAGGAAUUGGGCCCCUUUGAAGUUUGGUUAUCUGAAAAUGGUUCAGAUGAGGAUAAAGUUGUCGUCAUUAAUGGUCCACAAAUAGUGGUAAUGUGUUACCAAGACUUGAGGCAUUUGGUUCUACAAAAUUUACUCUGAACCUCAUUGCUACUAAACUUGGAGUUCAGAAAAUCACAGGCAUUACAGUGUUCAACACAACAGAGAAGAAAUCCUACGACCCUUUGCCAGAUUUAGAGAUUUUUGUGGAUUUGGACUAACCAUUGGGCAGUAUGGUUGUGCCAACCCGCGGUGCUGAUUUAGCUUUCCUUAUUCUGUGUGGUUUGAGCAAUCUAUUGAUCAGAAUAUUCAUUAGUCUCAUCAAUGGUCGAACAGAUUAGAAUACCAUGGAAUGUUCGUUGAUGGCUAUUCUCAAUGGUCUCGGAUAGCAUACUCCUAUACAUUUGUUGUGAUCACUCCAUUCCACAAAUGGCAGGCUCCUUUCACACUUUCAUGACUUUCCAUGAUCUAGGCAAGUCAUUGCGGCGCCAAUUUCUCUUACCGAAACUGCCUUUCAUAUUUUCUAGUUGGGACUCGUCAAUGGCAAAUUCCUUAUGUUGAUAUAUGAGAGCCUAACUAAACUAAUUGAUAUUCUGAUUGCUAAUGAGCUUUGUAAACUAUUUCUUUCUAUGCUUCUUUCAAUAAGCUAUAAUCAACUUAAAUUGGUCCCGUUAUCGAUUUA